rnacentral:rRNA from 1 species
GACGAACGCUGGCGGCGUGCUUAACACAUGCAAGUCGAACGGAAAGGCCCUGCUUGCCGGGUACUCGAGUGGGGCACGGGGGAGUAAAACGUGGGUGUUCUGCCCUCCACAUCGGGAUAAGCCUGGGAAACUGGGUCUAAUAUCGGGUAGGGGCCAUUUUUAGGGUGAUGGUUGGAAAGUUUUUUGGGGGUAGGAUGGAAUCGCGGCCUAUUAGCUUGUUGGUGGGGUAAGUGGCUACCAAGGCGGCGGCGGGUAGGCGGCCUGGGAGGGUGGACGGCCAACAUUGGGCUGGGAUACGGCCCAGACUCCCACGGGGGGCAGCAGGGGGGGAUAUUGGACCAAUGGGGGAAGCCUGAUGGAGCGACGCCGGGGGGGGGGAUACGGGCUUCGGGUUGGAAACCCCUUUCGCUAGGGACGGAGGUGUUUGUGACGGUACCUAGAUAAGAAGCACCGGCUAACUACGUG